rnacentral:lncRNA from 1 species
AUGUUUACUGUCAUGGAUAUUCACAGAAAGAAAAAGUGGGCCAAAUCCAGACUUUCCUGGCCAUUUGCUUGGACACUACCACAUCCUUUGCUUGGUGGCUUCUGUUGUCGUAGCUGUGCUGUUUCAUCCUCACUUAACUGCUAUCAGGAAAUAAAAUUGUCAGGUCCCUCUUCUCUCUUUGUCUGUUGUCUGCUUGAAAAGGUAGAGUCACAAGUUUGUAAGUACAAAGGAAAAAAUAAAAUGUUGCCUCUAGAGCUCUCAUCAAAGACUUGCUCACACCAAAUAUUCUAAUGAGAGGUAAGUGAACAAUGAUUUAAAACAUGAUAACAAAUAUGUGAUGAACUAAGGACAGCAUAAAUCAAUAAUUGCACUCAAGCUUUGUAGAAAUUAUACCAUCCUAGAUUCUAGCAGGAGACAAUUUGCUGCAGUAUUUUGUGAACAGAGCUAUCCUGUGGGAUCAGGCUGCAGAGGACAUUUC